CCUACGGGGGGCUGCAGUGGGGAAUAUUGGACAAUGGGGGCAACCCUGAUCCAGCCAUGCCGCGUGUGUGAAGAAGGCCCUCGGGUUGUAAACCACUUUCAGUGAGGAAGAACGCCUGGUGGUUAAUACCCAUCAGGAAAGACAUCACUCACAGAAGAAGCACCGGCUAACUCCGUGCCAGCAGCCGCGGUAAUACGGAGGGUGCGAGCGUUAAUCGGAAUUACUGGGCGUAAAGCGCGCGUAGGUGGCUUGAUAAGCCGGUUGUGAAAGCCCCGGGCUCAACCUGGGAACGGCAUCCGGAACUGUCAAGCUAGAGUGCAGGAGAGGAAGGUAGAAUUCCCGGUGUAGCGGUGAAAUGCGUAGAGAUCGGGAGGAAUACCAGUGGCGAAGGCGGCCUUCUGGACUGACACUGACACUGAGGUGCGAAAGCGUGGGUAGCAAACAGGAUUAGAUACCCCAGUAGUC
rnacentral:rRNA from 1 species